UAUUUGUCAGUCGUUUGAAAUUAUUAAAUGAAAAAUUUUUGCUUUUAGCUUUCAAAAUGCUUGAUUAUCUAACAUUUUUCACAAUAUUCAUUUAGUACUUACGACUAGUAAGCAUGUAUCUAGAAUACAAGCGUAGGGGUCGUCCCCGAUUGUGCUGGGUGAAACUGCAUCUUCAAGAUUACGUGCGGGAUAUUUAUGGCAAUUUGAUCAGAAGCACGGUAUGGUUGGAGGUCGCCUACUUAAAACGAGUCUAAGAAGACCAUUAUCUUCUAGACAUCGUUUAGCCGUUACAUUAAACAUGUGGGAUAAUUCAAGAAGUUUUCCCUCUCAUUUGGGAAAUUCUUUUACCAGUAUAUUUGAAACAGAAAACACAACAAGAAUGGAAACUAACUGCCCAAGGAUUUUGCGUGAGGUGGAAUUUUCCCAACUGUAUUGGGGAUAUGGACGGCAAAGAGAUACGGAUUUAGGCACUACCAAAUUCCGGGAGCCUAUUCUAUUGUUAUAAAAAUUUUUACAGUUUUAAGCUAUUGGCAGCGUGCGAUGCUUACUACAGAUUCUCGUGGGUUCUGUAAAAGACGUUUCGGCCUUCCAGAAUACAGAAUUUUAUAGGGCAAUGGAGAGAGAAGAAGCUGAUCUUCCAGCACCUGCUCGUUUGCCACGAUCAGCAAUGGUGUUGCCACACUUUUUCGUCGUCGACGAAAUCUUCCUAGUGAAACCUUAAGAUGCUUUCAGCAUCCUCACUGGAAGAUGGCGAAUUUUGCACAGAGCGUUGUCAUUCAAUCUAAAUCAAUCGGUAGCAACUGUGCAGGCAUUGAUUUGCCUUCACAAUUUCAUCCUCGGUGAUGAACUGUCCCGCAAAGAUGUAGAUCAACACUAUCUUCGCCCACUCCGCUAUGCACAUCUCAACCUCAGAGAUGUUCCACUUCCAGCAAGGCAAGAAGAAAACGUUCCUGUAGGAAACGAGGAGGAAAUAAUUGCACCUCGUGUCAUCCAGCAACGUGAAAUGCUAAGUGAUUAUUUUGUAUCGGAGGCUGGCGCCCUUCCUCAGAAAAAUUAUUUAUUAAAACGGAAGUCACAUUUCUAUCAACGCAAUGAAUAGAUUUUUGUUUCUUGUGACAGGUUGUCUAGCUACUUUGAAAUCUUGGAAUUCUCCUUCAAUUUUUUAUGAGAACCUUAAUUUUAAUAGUUUUAUUCCUUUCUUAUAAUAUUUUCGUAAUUUCAAAAGAGACUUCACAAAGAUUUCAAAAUGCCUUAAAAGAUUCUAGAACCGUUGAAAGGAUUAAAAGAUCUUACAAAGGUCUAAAAAAGAUUUCAAAAGACUUCACAAACAUUUUGGAAAGAUUUCCAAAAGAUAUUACAAGGUUUCAAGCAAUUAAAAAGAUCCCUCAAAGAUUUAACAAGGAUUGCUAAUCACUUAAAACAUUUCAGAAAGAUUUUAAAAGCUUUCAAACGAUUUUAGAAGAUUUCAAAGAAUCUUUUUAAAUCUCCUACGACUUGAAGGAUUUCCAAGAUUUUAUGAAGAGUGAAAAGAUUCUACAAAGGCAUGCAUAACAAAUUUCAAAGAUUACACUUUUAUUUUUAAAGACUCCUAAACGAUUAUAGAAUGAUUGAAAAAUUUUAGAAUGAUUUAAGACAUUGAAAACGAUUUUCGAAAAUUUAAGAGAUAUUUAACAAAGAUCUGAAAAGACUGCCAAGUUUUCAAAGAUUUCUAAAAUGCCACAAAGAGUUAAAAAGAACUCACAAUGGUGGGUAUAUCUGAUGUCAAAGAUUCCACAUAUUUCAAACGAUUUCGAAGGUUUGAAACCAUUUCAAAUAACGAACAGAAAAUUUUCACAAAGAUGUCAAACAUUUGAAAGAUUUUAAAAGGC